CAGUAGCCGCGGUAAUACAGAGGGUGCGAGCGUUAAUCGGAUUUACUGGGCGUAAAGCGUGCGUAGGCGGCUAAUUGAGUCGGAUGUGAAAUCCCCGAGCUUAACUUGGGAAUUGCAUUCGAUACUGGUUAGCUAGAGUGUGGGAGAGGAUGGUAGAAUUCCAGGUGUAGCGGUGAAAUGCGUAGAGAUCUGGAGGAAUACCGAUUGCGAAGGCAGCCAUCUGGCCUAACACUGACGCUGAGGUACGAAAGCAUGGGGAGCAAACAGGAUUAGAUACCCGAGUAGUCCCUGUCUCUUAUAC
rnacentral:rRNA from 1 species